CCUACGGGGGGCAGCAGUGAGGAAUAUUGGUCAAUGGACGAGAGUCUGAACCAGCCAAGUAGCGUGAAGGAUGACUGCCCUAUGGGUUGUAAACUUCUUUUAUAUGGGAAUAAAAUGUUCCACGUGUGGGAUUUUGUAUGUAACAUAUGAAUAAGGAUCGGCUAACUCCGUGCCAGCAGCCGCGGUAAUACGGAGGAUCCGAGCGUUAUCCGGAUUUAUUGGGUUUAAAGGGAGCGUAGGUGGAUUGUUAAGUCAGUUGUGAAAGUUUGCGGCUCAACCGUAAAAGUGCAGUUGAAACUGGCAGUCUUGAGUACAGUAGAGGUGGGCGGAAUUCGUGGUGUAGCGGUGAAAUGCUUAGAUAUCACGAAGAACUCCGAUUGCGAAGGCAGUUCACUGGACUGCAACUGACACUGAGGCUCGAAAGUGUGGGUAUCAAACAGGAUUAGAUACCCGGGUAGUC
rnacentral:rRNA from 1 species